GCGGGACACUGGGUGGGCGGCU
rnacentral:miRNA from 1 species